CGUUAACAACAGAAGAAGCACCGGCUAACUCCGUGCCAGCAGCCGCGGUAAUACGGAGGGUGCGAGCGUUAAUCGGAAUUACUGGGCGUAAAGCGCACGCAGGCGGUUUGUUAAGCUAGAUGUGAAAGCCCCGGGCUCAACCUGGGAUAGUCAUUUAGAACUGGCAGACUAGAGUCUUGGAGAGGGGAGUGGAAUUCCAGGUGUAGCGGUGAAAUGCGUAGAUAUCUGGAGGAACAUCAGUGGCGAAGGCGACUCCCUGGCCAAAGACUGACGCUCAUGUGCGAAAGUGUGGGUAGCGAACAGGAUUAGAUACCCUGGUAGUCCACACCGUAAACGCUGUCUACUAGCUGUUUGUGACUUUAAGUCGUGAGUAGCGAAGCUAACGCGCUAAGUAGACCGCCUGGGGAGUACGGCCGCAAGGUUAAAACUCAAAUGAAUUGACGGGGGCCCGCACAAGCGGUGGAGCAUGUGGUUUAAUUCGAUGCAACGCGAAGAACCUUACCUACACUUGACAUGCUGAGAACUUUCUAGAGAUAGAUUGGUGCCUUCGGGAACUCAGACACAGGUGCUGCAUGGCUGUCGUCAGCUCGUGUCGUGAGAUGUUGGGUUAAGUCCCGCAACGAGCGCAACCCUUGUCCUUAGUUGCCAGCCUUAAGUUGGGCACUCUAAGGAGACUGCCGGUGACAAACCGGAGGAAGGUGGGGACGACGUCAAG
rnacentral:rRNA from 1 species